GGGAGGUCUACUUUAACAUUUAUUAAGUCACGUAUUAUUUAGAAAUAGCUUGGGUUAUAUUUGCUAUUAUAAAAGGAUGCAUAAGAACCCAGGCCAUAGCCCAAAUGCUAAAAAAACCUGCCGGUAGACAAAUCAAUCCUAUAUCAGCCAAAGGAUUAAAAAACGAGUUAACAGCUCACUCCCACUUCCAUAAGCUUCUUCAGAAAUGCCCUUUCUCUUAGAUUUCUUAGAAAUGGUCUGGAUUCAGAUAAAUACCCUGAAAUAUAUUAAGACUAAAUAGAAAAAGGAAAUUAAUCAUUUAUAUAUUUUCUCUUCUUUCCUGUGAUUCUAUGGUUGCACCUGCAGAUGGCUAUUAGUUUUCUGAACCAAAUGCAAUACUUGGAAAGGCAACACUUUUUUCUCUUUUUGACUCCAGGUAAUGAGCUCUGUUUGAAAAUCAAUCAUGCAGAAAUAAAUGCCAGUUUUCUGAAAUUUGGGUUGAAAUUGUUUUCCUUUAAUAGUCUACUCUAAGUAAAAUGAAUAAACCACAGGGGAAGACAAUUUUAUACAAAAAUCGUUACAGAAAUGAGUACAAAGUUUAAGAUGAUUGGCUGCAUCUAUUAAAGGCACAUAAUAAACAUUUCUCAGUCUUUCUCAACAAUCAUCAGCAUCAUCUUCAUCCACCUCUCCCAUGGACUGAAUGACAUACUGUAAAGAUUACAUCUGAUAAGAGAAAGUUGAAGAGAUAUUAAUGUUUUGGGUAAGAAACUUGAUUUUCAUAAUAGAAUCUUUACCUUAAUUGUUUAGCUAAGUAAGGAAACAUGAACAAUCAAUUUUUAAAAUUCAAACUCCAUAAUUGUAUGAUAGCAUUGCAUACUCAAAUGUUGCAUUUUAAAAACAAAAGCAUAUAAAUGAAUUCUAAUUAAUAAGUGACUUUUCACUAUAUCCCUAUUAGGAAAAUUCAAUCCUGCCAAGCACUUGGGCAAAUGUGCUUUUUUUGGAGCAAUGUGUGAUACUGAUUUCUCUAGUCAGUCUCUCUCUUUUGGCUGAGUCAGGCCUUAUUUAGCAAAAAUCCCCAUUAGUUUUGGACACCAUUGCAGUUAGAUGUUGGGAUCCAUCCAUGGAUUAAAUUUUUCCAGGGAAAUGACAAAUAUGCUCUUCCUGAGAAGCUACCUAUAACAGUAGAGUCGAAUAUUCGUCAUGAUCUAGAUCUGCAUUCAGGUUGUGAAUGGGCAUGUGACACACAGGGUAAUUGUUUCACUAGCAGCACAGAUCUUUCCUUUGCACUUAUAUAAGAUAUGAUCCCCAAAAAUUAAACACGUUUUCAGACUUCUAAUAACUGUAUUUAACAGUUCAAGACCACAAUAAUAAGAAAUGAGAUGUUCCUGACAUUUGUAUCUAUCAGGUAUUAAGAACCACAUAUUAAUCUUCUGAGUACUAAUUGAUGAUAACACAUCAUCAUCAGAUUAGCUAGAAAUGUAGUCAAGAUGAAUUUGCAAUCUGCUGCUUUUGUGACAGCCACCGAUUAUGCUACUUUAAGGCAUUAAUUCUUAUCUACUGGAAAAUAGUUUUCAUUUUAAAAAUCAUGCUGUUUCACUUAUCACGUGGGUAUUACUCAUUUUCAUAUUACAUUCAAUGAUUGUAUUUGUUGAAUAAGUAUUUUGUGCUUUGGCUAUAUGCUGGGUGACACAGGGACAGGAAAGUCCUAGAAGGAGCAAUUUCAGCCCUUAGGAGUUCACAACUUCUGGUUCAGAUAGCAAUACACAUAUGAAACAUUCAAAUGGUAGAAGAUUUACUAUGCGUGACACAGUAGCAUGAGUAGGAAUACUAAGCAUGCUGAGAACACACCAAAACCACAAUUGCCUCCUCUUUCAGCUAAUGUGCCAAACACCCAUUAUGUCCGGAUUGGCUUGUGUAUUUUAGUCAUGUAUAUAAAUUACAAGAUGCUUCUAAGAAUGGCCUAUUCUCAUUCAGUGUCUCAGUCUACUGUCUAAGAAAAAUAGGAUUUAUUCUAUAAGCGUUAUUUGCUUCACAAAAUGGCAAUAAUGCCAUUUUUAUCUGGCAUACCUGGGAAUGCAGCAUUUUACAUAAUAGUUUUCCUAAAUGAUUGAAAUUUGUUUGGGUGGAAACUAUUCUCUCUGCGUUAUUGUAUCCAGCUCUCUGAUUGCUGUUAGAGUGCUCUGUACCUAUUUAUAGUGUAGCAUAAUUUGUUCUUUUUUAAAAAAUGUUUCUACUUACCUAUUGCAGAUUUUGCAAAAUCUAAUGCAAUGUCUUUUUUAUUUAUAUGUCCUUGUUGCCUUGCACUUGGCCAGGGACAUCAGUCAGUCUCCAUAAAUGUCAACUGACUAAUGAAAUGAACAAAUAUUUUUGAGUAUAAUUUGAUUUGAAUAAUGACUCAGUAUGAAUAUAAUAAACAUAGCAAUUUCAUUUUUACCUGCAAUAUGGUGGACCUAUCAGUGUACAGAAGAGCCAUUUCCUCUCCGUUAAAUGACUCUAGACCAAACUUAAUUAAGCCUUUCUGUGUGUUCUUCCUUCUCCGUUAGUAUGAGUCUUCACAUUUCUCCUUCUGACAGUGUGCCUUGAAUCUGUCAGCCUGUCACCAUGCUCUGUCUAAUGUGUUGAUUCUAAUCUGCACUGGGCUGACAAAUUAUGUAACUACGGUUGUUAAAAAUAUAUGUAAAAUAAAACCAAAUACGAUCUAACACAUCUAAAGAUGUAAUUUUGAAAUAGUAUGAACAGAUGCUGGAUUUGAAGUCAUCUUCUUUUGGUCAGUUUUCUUUUUGGAUAAAAGAGCUUCAGGAUAUGAAUUUAUGGCAUCUAUUUUAGAUUUGCAUAGUACUUACUUCCCUUAGUGCUUGUAUUUGCUGUGUUAUGAAUAGUUGAAAAAGAGCUUUGGGUAAGGAAGUACCUGUGUGUUUGCAACUGUUUAUAUACACAUAUAUACAUAUAUAUAUAUAUAUACAUAUAUAUAUGUGUGUAUGUGUGUGUGUGUGUACAAAACUCAUAUUAUUCAUCCAGUGAUAUUUCAGUGCUUCCUGUGUCCAUUUAUUAUCAUGAUCUUUAUUUUCCAUGAAAUCUGGUAAAAAUCAAAAGCAGUCAGUGGGACUGCUUUUUAAAGGAACUCACACUUCUAGAGCAGGCAGGUAACUAUUUAGUAAAUUACCUCUUCUGUCAUGCUCUGGAAGACUUCAUUAAUCUCAUGUGGGUGAGACAAUUAUACUCUGAAAAUAUCAUUUUCAUCGCAGGGCCAGCCCUUACAUUAGUGUUCUUAACACAAUGAUUGUUUCAUCUUUGUUAUCUGUGGGGGCUUAGUUCUCUCAAAGGUCAUGAGCCCUUACAGACUCAGUUCAUCAUCUCUUGCCAGGGAUGACGGCUCUUUAGGCAAGGUAGUCCUGACAUAAGCAUAGGUCAUUCAUUGGUCAGAAAAGGAGCCAAAUGCCAAUCAUUAUGCACACUCAUCACCACCACAGGGGGAAGAAGAGCCUUAAUACUGUGGUUCAGCAGUCUUAUCAUUUAAUAAUGGUGAUGGAAUAUUAAUACGAAGGCCAAUAUUAAGCCAGCACAUACUGAAGGCUUUCCCGGAAGGAAGCAGGCAUUGUUCUUGUUCUUUGCAGGACAUGCUAAAGCUAUGGUAAUACAUUUCAUGAGACUUUUACAAAAGAAAAUAAUGCAAAAGAAGGGGAAAGGAGCAGACCCAAGGAAAUAGUCUUUGGAAGUCAGUGUUUCUAAAGGAGACAGGAGCACUUUCAGUAGCCACUGGGAAGUAAGCCUGCCUCUGGCAUCCAUAGUGCCCUCCCUAGCCCAGUGGGAGAUACCCCCAGUAAGAUGUGCUACAAUUGGUAACUGAGUCUAGUGUCUCAAGCACCUAGAAGAAUGUCUCCCUGCUUUACUAAUACCUCCUCAGAAGACCACAAGAGUCAUGCAACUUGGCUUUAUCUAAAACUAACAACAAAGAAAAAGACUUCAGACAGGAAAGUCUGGGCGCUUUUGCAGAUAUUUAAGAAAUAUGCCACAAUCUAUGAAGAAACAUAUUUUGAGUGAUAUCAACAAUGCUGAAACGAUACUUUGGGAAAAAAGAGUAUGUAACCUAAAUGCCUGGGUUUGGGGAUGUGGGCCUUGACAGUGUAUAGCUUUUCAAUUUUAUUUUUAAUGUAUUUUAAGUCUUUGUUUAUUGUCAAAACAAUGCAUGCUUGUUGUAAAAAAAUGUAAAAGAUUUUAAAAGCAUUAUAAAAUGUAGAAGGAUGUAGGGGAAUAUAGAAAAUAAAAUGAAUCCACACCCCAUUUAAAUAAAUGCUUUGUAAUACAUAUUCCCCUCUUCCCUAUAUUUUGAUUUUUAAGUCAUUUUUAUUUUACAAUUUUAAAGUCAACUGUAUCAUACUUUUUGAUGUCAUAUUUUUUAUAUUCAUCUAAGUAUUUGAUGCAGUUAAAAUAAUUUGAAAGCAUAUAUAUGAAUGAUCACCAUAUUUUAUGUCUGUAAUAUAUGUGAAUGAUAAUCCUUGUAGCUUUAAAUUUAUUUUUAUGUAGAAUAAUGAUUUUCUUCAUCUUUACUAAUAUCUUAGAAUUCUAGGUGUAGAAUUACUAGGUCAAAGUUUAUGAACUCUUAAUUUUUUUUUCUUGCUGCAGUUCUUUCACAUCAAAUACCGAAAUAUCGAAUUUCAAGGAUGUUCUUAAUUAUAUAACUUUGAUGUUGGAAGUGGCAUUUCUCUAUGGGGAGGGGUGGAGAUUUGAGCGGCCAUGGAAUGUGUCUGCAACCUCCAUCUGCCCCUCACUAACUGUGAAAGAUUGUUCUAGGGAUUAGAAAUCAUAUAUGUAAAAUUCCUGAGACACAGUGAUCACCCAAAUAGUGGCAGUUAUUUUAUACUCUAGCUGCCCCUGCUGUUGCUACUAAGGAUGAUAAAAAUGGCAAGGUUAACAAGUUAGUUGGUGGAAUAAGCCAUUUCUACAAUAAACCUUUAAGUCACAGGACUCUAUUGCAGUGCCUGACUCAUCAUAAAUGAAGAGGAACCUGAGGAGUUGAGGAACAGAAUCCAGGUGUACCUCUAAGUGCAGGCUGGUGUCAAACAGAGAAAAGCAUUUUUUUCCCCCCUAGUUGGUCAGGAUUCGAAUAAACUUGGGGAUUUCUUAAAGAGAUAUUAGGAUGGACCAUUAAAUCUGGGUCCAAUUUUAGACUCAGGACAAGCAUGAUGAGUUGACACGUCUUUCUUUAUGCAGAGAGGAGGAAUCUACAGCUAACUUGGGAGAAGAGUAGGAAAUGGAAGCCGGCCAGUUGGAGCAGCCCUCAGUCUGGUCCAUUAUUAUUGUCAAGUCCUUCAAGAAGGGGAUUAGGACUGCCACAGAGCUGCUGAUCCAAGCCCAGUCCUCUCAUUUAUUUCACUACCAUAACUUAGCACUUGAUUCAUCCAUGAAAAUGCAGCUCAAGACCUGCGUGGUUACAGCUCCACAUGCUUCAUUCAGUAACAUCACCUAUCAAAGCCACAUGCCAGAAAAGCACCCGAAAUGCUUGAUACCACAAAAGCCAGUCAUAACCCACAGGUUGAGACCGUCCCACCAGAAAAAAAAAAAAAAAUUUAAAAAAAAAAAUUUUGGAAUUAUUUCUCCAUAAUAGAAUGCGAUUCUCCGUGAGUUGACCUUCAGGCCAUGCUGUGAAACCAAAAAAGAAAGAAAGAAAGAAAGAAAGAAACCAAACACUCUAGACAUGGAUGACUGGAUACUCUGUGCUUUCUGCUGUCUCCUAAACCCCUUCCAAGUCUCCAUCAGAAGGUAGAAUGACUUGCAGCCCAUUUCACCACGCAACCUGAUAACGGUAACCGGAGAUCUGUCCUACAAAAGGUUUCGUCCCUCACUCCAUGGAAGACCCCCUCAGAACAAGAAACAUUUUUCUCACAGGAGAGUCUCAGAGAGUCUAUGAAUUCCUGUUGGAUGAAAGUUUUCUAAUUUCCUUUCUGCAAAUACCAGGGCAUUUGUUUCUCUUAUGUAAUUUCCAGGGAAUCGGUUGCAUGACCCAAUUGCUAUUCUGUUGGUGGACCAAGGUGCCUUACCGUCAGUCGCCCUUGGUGAGAACGUACUCAAGGGCUGACACAUGACUGCAGCGGAACUGGACAAUUCCUGGAAGGAAAAGGGUUAAGAGCCAGUAAAAACAGCAUAAAUUUACACAUGACCUAGUGUGAUUACACUUUUAUUCUCUUCCGUGCAAGGAACAACAACAAUGACAACCUCCAGAACUCAUGCUUCUGGUCCAGAAACCUCCCAAGUGGACAUGGUUUCACCCAGUUCAGAUGAUCUCAGCAACAUUCUGGUUAAAAAGAGUCUGGAGGCAGAGACAACCCCUCACCAUUGAGCUCUUUCUCAAAAGAAUCCAAAGGUUCCUACCAUUAUCGAAAUAUCAUCUCACCUGUUGGGCUCAAGGGAGCGGGUUUGUGAGACCCGGUUCGUGAUGGUUUGAAUUUGGCAGAUAAGUUUUAGAAUUGUUCAAGUUUGCCCACAUCUUCACUGGCCAGGAAGGAGAGGAUGGCUUGAGAAACCAGGGAUCUGGGCUCCAGAAAGAAUGAUGGGCAGAUAAAAGAUACUGCAGCAGCUUCAGUUAAAAAAAAAAAAAAAAAAAAAAA